AGGCGUAAAAAGGCUCGGCCUUACCGCAGAGAUUGGGUCCCGGGCUUCCCCGCUCCGGGCCGGGACCUGGACCGCUGGCCCGUUGUCCGCUCCGCUCAGUCCGCUCAGUCCGUUGGCGGCGGCCGCGUCCAGGGACCCGGCUCCCGUAAGCGCUCGUCCCCCGGGGCCUCCCCGCCGCCCCCCUCCCGCCCAGACCCCGAAGGCCCGAGCGCGGGGCGCCAGCUCGCGGCCCUGCGGCCCAGGCCCGGGUGUCCGGGACAGGGAGGCGCCGGUGGGCGGGGGCGCGUUUGUGAGCGCCGGCGGGCGGCGUGCGGGAGCGGGCUCCGGGCUGAGGGACCGCUGGGGCGGGGGCUUCAGGCGGCCUGAGGCGGGAGGAUUCUGCCCUCGGGACCAGGGGACGGAGAGCCUGAGGCGGAGACGCCUUGAUUGGCGGGCGGAGGUGCGGUACUUUCAUGGGAGGACGCUAGACGCCAAGGGGACUUUGGCCAAAGGAGGGACACAAUCUCCAUUAGCGUUUCAAGAUUCCCCUAGGGAGUUCUAAAGAAGAGCAAUUUGGAGGUGGGAGAGGAGUGCUCCGAGAACUGGCAGGCUGAGUCUCUGUUCAGGGUCACACAGCCGGUAAGACAGCAUUGAGCCCUGAGGCCCACUGAUUACACAGCCCGAGCUCACUGGGCUCCAGGGCCUGGAAGAGUGCGGAGAGGCAAGAGCCCAUCAUCCUUUCCCCACAGUGGUGGCAUUCUUUAAAGGCCUGCCUUUGCCCACAGACUCCCAGGACUGCAGAAGUACUUGUGGAACCAGCACGGAUUCAGCAUGAAUAGUUCAUCAUUUUUAUAUCACUGAGAGAGAGAAAUCAUAAGUAGAUGGAGAGACAGGCAGAGAGAGAGAGAGAGGGAAGCAGGCUCUCUGCUGAGCAGAGAGCCGGACGCGGGACCGAUCCCAGGACCCUGAGAUCAUGACCUGAGCCGAAGGCAGCGGCUUAAACCACUGAGCCACCCAGGCGCCCCCACUACAGACGUUUUAAUAUAAUUUGCUAUGUGGCUAUAUUUAUUUUCUCUUGUGUUAAUACUUCAGGGUGCAAUGCUGGAAUCACACGCUUGGUGAAUAUUAACUUUUUAUGUAUAUUACAUAGUGCAAUAAGGGAGGCGUCUUUGAUAAUGGGGUCAUUGGGUAAAAACCUGAAGGAUAAGAGGGAUAACUACGUGAGUGUAUUUUCAGAAUAAGUUCUAGGCAAAAUGUGCAGGUGAGUAGAUAGCUUGGGUAGGUGGAGCCCUCAUAGGCUCCUAAGCGUUUGAAGACUCCAGCCAGGUUUACCAUUAGCAUGACUUGCUCACUGCAGAGACACUCAGGGAACAGAUGUGAGGAAGUCUGGCUCUGCCUCUGGGAGUCUGCAAUUCUUCACUGUGGCACACUGCAAGGCCUGAAUCUAGGCAGCCUCAUUUUUCAUCAAAAUCUGGUUCCCAAGU